AAUUUGUUGGUCCAAAUUAUACGGACCCUGCCUUAUAUUACUCUUAUACAAUACACUCUCACAAACAAACGAAUUUAACGUUCUUCAACCCACUCUUAGAUUCUUCUUCUUCCUCCCUUCCCCUCUUGCUCUCAAAUUUUCAAAGUUUUGCUCUCAAAUUUUCAAAUUUUCAAUCAUUCCUAUCGCUCUCGAUAUGAUAUCAUCAAGAAUAACAAAAAAUCUGGAUACAGAAACCUUUUAUUUCCUCUCCCACAAAGUACGCGAGUUCUGAAAACCCUAACUACCCAAAUCGAUUUCUGUUCCGAUCCACUCUCAUGAAGCCUUCUCGCGAUGUCUGUUCUGGAAACUGGAUCCACUCUCAUGAAACCUUCUCGCGAUGUCUGUUCUGAAACCUUUUACUACCCAAAUCGAUUUCUGUUCCGAUCAAUCGCGAUGACAGCGCGCCGGAGACGACGUGGCAGCAUCAUUUGUAUGGAGAGAUCAACAUGUGGCUGCGGCGGCGGCGUUUCCUGCCCAAGGUGGUCGUGCGGCUUCCAUAGAAACUGGAACAAGCUCUAUAUAUCUAAUUUGGAUCAUGGUGUUUCCAAUGAUGAUAUAAAGAUAUAUCUAUAAAUGCUGAAAAUCUUUGCAUGAUAAGUUUUGAGAUGGUCAGGAUAAACCAGAGGUUCAACGAGAACAUAAAUAUGAGGUGUUGAUAUUAUUGGGUGAUGCAAGCAGUGCACUUGGACAUAUGAGCAAAGGUGUAGCUGCAUUGUCUAUGGAUAAGUUCAUUCAAAGUCGACCGAGACAGGAAAACAAAUGUGUGGAGGAUUUUGGUGACGUUGUUAGAGAGUGAGGUGGAGCAUUAAUUAUGUUAGGCACCUUUCUUAAUCCCAGAUCAAAGAAAAUGUUAUCUGGCAUAAGUCAACGUCAUGAUGUUCCAGAUGAGAAUAAUGUGCUGCUUGCCGUCACCGACGAAGGGUAAAAGGAAACGGGAAGAUAGAGCAUGGUCAAGAUUUCCCAAAAAUUAUAAGAGAUAGAAUUUGUUAUCGAAUAAUCAGUGACUAAACCCGUUCCUGGGAGUCAAGGAGAGCAUGGUGUUAUUGGAUCGGCGAGAAGAAUUCCUUUAAAAGAUAUUGCUAACGUUGGUUCUUCAUCUUUAAAAAAAACAGCAAAAUCAUCAGCAACAACAAGUUCGUUGAAGGCAGGGAAAUAUACAGUACGUAAUGGUACAUUUAUUAAUCGCGCAAGAUGUUCACUAAGAGCUUCGUUUAGGCGGAAUGUGGAAUCUAUCAAACCACGUCAUAUUGCAUUCCAAGUGCUGCUGCAAACAUGGCCAACCAACCUAACUUUGCCCGGGAUACUUGGAAAGAUACAGAUGACUGGAAACGAUAAAGACCAGAGAUAAAUGGCCACUUCUGAUUUGGUUAAUUAGUUGACCAAACCCACUUUUAGGGCCGAUCCUGAUCUCGAACUUAAAUUGAAAAAUAUCAUCAUACAACAACUAGACAUGCUGCUAGUGAUGUUUCUGGGACUUGCUGUCAAAUGCCUUGCUCCGUUAGUCAGGAAGAUGAAUGAGCCUUGCACCGUUAGUCAUCAUGCCUAUUGAAAUGUUUCAGAUGACAAUGGAAGUUACACAGAUCCAAUUAAAUGCCCAAGCAGUGGAUGGUGCUGUGAGGAAACAAGCUGAAGAUAACUUGAAACAAUUCCAGAUACCAGCAGCAGCGAAGACACAAUGAUGGUACUGAAGAUGCUGGCCUUGUUGGUCAUAUAUUCAUCUAAAUGAGUUCAAAUUUUGGCGUUCCUCUGGUGGUCUAUUCCAAAGGAAAAACUAUCAAUGCGAAGGAGGUGCUAGCUGCUGGUCCUCGGCCUCAACCUAUAAUGGAAACAGUUUUAAUUACUCUGAUGCAUGUUGGAUUACAUAGUGAGAAGGUGGAGUUAGAGGCUGUUUUUAUGAUAUGCGUGGUUUCUGCUGUUGAUUCUUGUCAAUGAGAAUUGGUCUGCACUGUACUUGACGAUCUUUCUAAGGAGCUUCAGUAUAUGACUAGAACGAAGAGUGGCAAUUGGUGGAGAUGGUAGCUGCGUGUGAUGGUGUGUUCAGAUCUUAUUCUCGACGAAGGAGAUGGAAGAUAGAUGUGUUGCAGAUCUUGUGAUGGAGGGCUGCUGAUCUGGUUGUAGAUCUUGUGGAUGGCUGCCGAUCUGGUUGGAGAUCUUGUGAAAGAAGGAUGCGGUUAGAGAAGAGAAGAGAUUGCGUGUUAUGAUGCAAUAAUUUUAGUUUCGUACUCUAUUUUGUUCGUUGAAUGUCUUCCAAGAAUGCAAUAAUUUUUGCUUUUGCUAGUGUUAUAUUUCUUGUCCUCGUCUAUAAGUUUUCACUUUUCACCUUUUUGUUCCUUUUUCCAGGUGUCCUGGACAUUUUUAUCAUGUACGGUGCAUAUACAACUACCAGCUCUAUCACGGAUUUUUCUAAGAUUUCUUUGGUUUAGGCUUGCUUUAGUUUUGUAACUUUCCUUUAUGUGUAUAUUUGCCCAAAAUAAUGAUUUUUAUCUUAUAUCUUCAGGUUUUUGUUGUUUUUUAUUGAUGUGUUGAUGAUGUUUACAUUUACAACUCUUUGUUAUGAUGGCAGAAAAGCACUCCAGGAAGAGAGUAAAAGCGAUUCAAAUUCGGUUAUUUUCAGAUUUUAUGUUAUUGUUGUCGGGAUUUAUGCCGAUGUCCAGUUUUUCAUUAGUUUCCUCAUGCAGAUUCCUGCAUUGUCAUCUUCUGACAAACCAAUGUGAUCGUUGGCCUCUCAUUCGCUUUGUGAAGUGGCCGCGCCAGGAACGACAUUAUGUUGGACGGGGAAUGUAUGAAAGGAGUUUCGAUUUCAUAAAGUAUAUGCUGUUUUGGCUUGUCAUUUUGAGUGCAAAAUUUUUAUUUGCUUACUUUCUUCAGGUACGUGACAUACUCAUAGUUGCCUCCAAAUUGGAAUUAUACUGUUAGAACUGGUAUCUAAAUUAAUUAAAUAUACUGAAUUUACUAGAAUAUUUUAGAUAAUAAAUCUUGAAGCACUGUUCCGAAGAGCAGUGAUUACAUAUAAUGCAGUAGCAGUUCUUCCUCUGGCCAAAACUGACAGAUUCAUUUUCUGACGUAACAAUUAAAGAAGUUACACACAAAUGACAGGAAUUUGAGAGCCCGUCCUCUCCCUAACCAACCGGUUUAUACCAAAUAAUGCCUCAAUUAAAACAACAAACUACUAUUUAUAGAGUUACACACACACUAAUAAAAACAUAACUGACAUAAUUAAAAUAACUUCUCCUAAUAAUAUAAUAACUGCCAUUAAUUACAUAAUAAAUACGUAAUAAUAUUUACUAAUAAGUGGUCUAACGUAUGCAUCUGUUUGUUCUUGUGUGCCUAUAUGUGGGUGAGUGGAUAAUAUUGCUUGUACCUACUGUGCGUAUGCUUAUAUGCUUGUACACUUGAAUGUUUUAUUUUUGAGGUUUUCAGAUCAAGCCACUUGUGAAACCAACAAAGGACAUAAUAAAAGAGAAAAACUUAGUUUACUCUUGUCAUGAUUUUGUAUCUAAAAGUAAGCGGUGGUCUGUUUAAGUUUGUGGUUAUGUCUUUUUGUUUCCUGUUGAUGCUAUUGGCUACUAAAGUGCCUUUAGUUUUGCUGAUAAUCUCAAUGCUUUGACAAUUGUUAGCAUAUGGUCUCCAGUGGUUUUCGUAAGUGCAUCACUGUUUUGCCUUUUUACCCCCUUGUAUGCUUUAGUUCUACUUUUUUCGUUAAUGAUAGCUUUCUUCUCUCGUGGGGAUGAAAUUGUCUUUCAAGAGGUUGUUGAAGUUUGGUGUGAACUAUGAAGUAGCACAGAUAUUAAUGUGAUAUUUAUGUACGGUAUCAUUUAUGAAGCCUUCUAGCAUUUUAUGUUUAUGUUCAUUUGCACUCAAAACAAGCUUUUCUGCUGAAAGCUAUAUCUUGAAAAACAUGUUUAGCUCUUGUAAGUUGUAACUCAAAUACUCAAAUAAAUAUAUUAUUUUAGGAGGUAUUGAACUAAUAUUGAGUUGGAACAUUUUCAGUACUGAUGGUUGUUUUUGUUAUUGAUUUAUCUCAUCCUUUUCACCUUGACUGUUUCUAUUGUGCAGGAGAAUGAUGAUAGAUAUAUUAUACUACCUAGGAGAUGCUGCUCUGUUUUCCUAUUAAUAUAAAUAAAAUACUUUACAUUUUUUUAUUUUUUUUUUAGCGUUUAUAAUAUAGCUCCAUUGCUAAGAUUUUGCAUCUAAAAACGGUUCCCCCCGAGAGCCCCUUGAUUGAUUAUUUGGCUUUCGUCAGGCUCACAACGGUAAAUAAGCGAUUCGCGGGAGGCCACCUGUGUCCAUUGUUUUAUAUUUUAGUUUAUUAUUAUAAUUUUAUUAUGUUGGCAUGUUUGAUUUUGAUUUUAGGAAAUUCAACGUCUUUUUCCCAGAAAGUUGUGCUCAAGAUGGCUGUACCUUACACUGUUAGUCAAGUCUUUCUUCAUGGAGCACUUGAAGCUUCUAAAGAAGAUGGCACCACUUUCAUAGUUAAUGGACAACAUGCAAAACAUUACGAGGAAGGGUUGCUCCAAGUGAGAUAUGUCGUUUGCCUCAGUGAUUGAAAGCUUUCUCAGGGAAGUCACUGUUACUCUCUCUCACUUAUUUACUUCUGUGCCUGGUUGAAUAUUUGACAUUGAAGACCAUGCUCUGAACUAGCACAAUGUGCUAUGUUGACUAUCUUUUUGUAAACUAUCUUCUAAAUGUGAGAUUUGAGCCUCUAUAAGGGGAUACAUUCUAGAACUUGUCUUGUGUUCCACUGAAAUUGAAAUGCAUAAAAUUGCAGGGUAAGGGGACAUAUAAGAAUGAUAAGGCUGGAUUGACACUUGCUGAUCUUGCUUACCGACGUGCAAAAGCAGUGAAGAAUCAUCAAAAGAAAUCUAAUAACUCUAAUCCUUUGCCAAAACCUUCCUCUUCCAGGCUAGAGGAAAUGCGGGAGCUAUUCCAGAGUGACGUGAAGGAUAAAAAGCCGAAACGGAGAGGUUCUUGAACAGGAAAGAAGGCGAAGAAGUCAUUGAAAAGCAAGUCAAGCUGUAACCAGUGCUGCCAUGCUGAUCGGUUGCAGUUCCCAGGAAUUAAUAACGGCAUUAUCUACCCAUAAAAUCCAACCUUGCGAGCGAGGACACUGUUGCCACAAGUUUGACAUUAUUGCAGGCAAUUGAAACAAGAGAUACAAUUGCCAAAUUUAUUUAUGCAAGCUUGUUUGAAUGGCUUGUACAACAAGUUAACAAGUCACUUGCAGUGGGUGAAAACCAUACAGAGAAAUUCAUUAGUAUCCUUGCUUUUUAUGUGUUUCAGCCAUUCCAGGUAUUCAACAUGAUUCGUUGCGUGUGACAGACUUGAUAAUUCCUUCUCAUAAUAUGUAGUUGAAGCAAAGGUGAUUUUCAAUUUGUGUUUUGAACCGUCGAUCACAUAAGAAAGAUCACUCACGCAGUCAUGCUGCAAAGAAAGUGAAAUGCAUAAAUGAAGGGGCCAUAUGGUGCAAAAGAGUGUAACCGCAACAACUCAAAAAUACGAGGAAGUUGCAUGGUUGGCCUAAGCGAAAAUGGAAGAGAAAGUGCCCUCUCUCUGCUGCCAAAUAGGCUAAAACUGGAUGAUGUCUUUGGGGCUCCAAAGUAACCUCAUUAAUGAUAACACAGCUUCAGAUUCAAUCUUCGUUGAGAUUCAAUGAAGCUUCAAAUUCAAUCUUCCUUGAAAUCCAGCAAAUGAUGGAACAAUGCUAUUGGAACAGAUGGCUGUUGUUAACCAGAUUGCGAAGCUGAUGGUGGAGUUUAUUGAGGAGUCAGGACUAUGAAAUUGGUGAUGGUACUACUGGAGUUGUUGUGUUGGCUGGAUCUCUUACAGCUUGGAGGUUUUGUAUGACAAACUACUCACGAUAAUGACUGGAAAUCUACAUAUUGCAAAGACUUUUGUAGUGUCUUUAACCAUAUGCUUGACAAUAAAUACAUCGUUGCUUUUUGGAACACAGCAUAUUGAACAAUUCUUCAGUCAAUUUGUUACAACACUUAUCAUGCACUUCAAGGCUGAAAUCACCACACCAAUUUUCUUUGUAAACGCGACAUAUGACUCAUGGCAGGUUAGAUUGUUUUGUUGCCCAAUAUAAAUUAGUAAUUGAUGUUUUUGGUGUUAGCUUUGAAUAUAUGAGAUAUACAACAAGUCUUUUCCCUGAUCCUCAAGGGCACUGACAAUCUGGCAUAGCUGCAAGCUAGAUAUAAACAACUGCUCUUCUAAUCAACUUGAUCUAAUGCAAGGUGAAUUUUUUCCUUCAUAGGUUGUCAAAUCCCAAGUCCUAACUGCAAGAUAUUAUAGAAUUUAUCUGACAUCACUUUUACCAUGACUUGAUUGUCAGGCUUUAGAACACAAUUUCUAAGAGCAAUGAUUGUAGCUUCAAUUUCACGAGUAGAUUCUAAUUUAUGAAUGAAUUUGUGUAGUUUAUUUAUCACGAUGAUUUUGACUUUGUUCUUGCUCUUGCCACCAAAUCGCCUUCAUUGCAUGAACUGACUUGACGAUUCCCUCUCGUAAGGUAUUCGACAAGAUCGACAUGAUUCGUUGCGUGUGACCGACUUGAUGAUUCCCUCUCAUAAUACAUGUCAGAUGCAGGUCUUCUUUCUAAUACACUUGCACUGGAUGCAAUUCACGAUAUUGUUCCCUCCCAUGUUAUAAAUGUCACGGCCUUGUUUCUGUGCCUACUUUACUUGGUCAAUGAUCCAAAGGUAGUAUAUGGGGUGAGAUUGAAAUGCAGCAAGAUGUCUUAUGAGCCAAGCUUUGCAUAAGAUGUCUGGAAUUGCCUUUAAAGACGGUUGUCCAAAUAUGAUAUAAGGAGAUUCUAUUGUGCAGGAGAAUGAGGAUCGAUAUAUUAUACUACCUAGGAGAUUCUGCUCUGUUUUCCUAUUAAUAUAAAUAAAAUACUUUACAUUUAUUACAAACUCCUUUUCUCAAAUAUAAUAUAGCUCCAUUACUAAGAUAUUGCAUCUAAAAACGCUUUGCCCUUGGAGAGCCCCUUGAUUGAUUAUUUGGCUUUUGUCAGGCUCACAACGUUAAAUAAGGGUUUCGCGGGAGGCAACCUGUGUCCAUUGUUUUAUAUUUUAGUUUAUUAUUAUAAUUUUAUUAUGUUGGCAUGUUUGAUUUUGUUUUUAGGAAAUUCAAUGUCUUUUUCCCAGAAAGUUGCGCUCAAGAUUGCUUGGACCUUACAUUAUUAUUACUCAAGUCUUUCUUCAUGGAGCACUUGAAACUUUCAUAGUUAAUGGACAACAUGCAAAACAUUAUGAGGAAGGGUUGCUCCAAGUGAGAUAUGUCGUUCGCCUCAGUGAUUGAAAACUUUCUCAGGGAAGUCACUUUUAUUCUCUCUCACUUAUUUACUUCUGUGCUUGGUUGAAUAUUUUACAUUGAAGACCAUGCUCUGAACUAGCGUCGGGGAGGAUAUAUAUUUUGGCACAUUACUUCUGCUAAUUCUUGUUGAAUGAAUUUUCUGGCUUGUUUUAAUUAAGUUAUGCUUAAAAAUAGAGGUUAUGUCUUUGAGGUACCCUUGAAAAUUUUAUUUGACAGACUUGUUCAAUGUUGAUAAUGGGGUUGUCUUUUGAAAGCUAAUAAUUAGCAUAAUGUGCUAUGUUGACUAUCUUUUUGUGAACUAACUUCUAAAUGUGAGAUUUGAGCCUAUUUAUUAUGCAUUUCCUUGGUUUUUGUUUUAUAUUUCUCGUCUGGUGUUAAUAAGAAAUGAAAUGAAGAGGAGUGCUAGGGUCACACCCUCUAACACACUCUUUUAACACACACCAAUAACAAUCAGCCAUGUCAUUCAUUUUUUUAUUCCUAUCACCUGUUACCGGUUUUGUUUUGAUAGAGUAUACAAUUUAUUUUUUUAUAUUUUAUUUGCACUUAACUUUUCAUCUUCGGUCUUCAAUUUCUCACCAACACUGUUCAUUCAUGUUCCAGCAGGUUCUUCACUUCUCCUCUGUCCAUUCACUUUUUCUCUCCUAUUGAUGUGUAAGAAAACUCAAACAUAAAGAUUGCCACCAACACAGGAGAAUGGAACCCGGCCCAAAAAAAUAAUAGAAUCACUCCGAAGAAAUAAUUUAGAAAAAGAUCUGGAAAACACCUGCAACAAACAUAGACCAUAUCGAAACUUCAUUAAUUGUUCUGUUAUAUGGUAUCAAGGAGAAGAGCACCAAGCUCUUCAUUCAAGCUUCAUCAUUUUCACCAUCACAAACCUUCAAUUUUCUUUCAUCUUCAGCAAAAUCAAAUUCUAAACGUCACGAUCUUCCUUAUUCAAUUCAAAACCCUAAGAUUUCAAUCUUUACAAUAAUCAAUAGAACUCACAAAAGAGAUGUUGACAAAAACGACCUUAAUCGGAAAAGAAUAAGUCAGAUUGAUCGGAGAAAUUGCAGAAAAUCCGAGUAACAUUCAAUUUUUUUUUUUUUUGUUUUUGACAAAAGGUUAUAUCUUGCAACCUGAACAACCGGUCAGCAUGUAAGUGAAUAAAAAAAAAUAGAUGACUUGGCUAAUUGUUAUUGGGGUGUGUUAAAAGAGUGUGUUAGAGGGUGUGACCCUAGCACUCCUCUUGAAAUGAAUUUUAACAGGCAUCCUUGGAUAAGGAAGACUGUUCUUCUCAUAAAACUAUCAUUCAGCAACAUCAGAAACUAUCUUGUGAUUCAUGUCGCGACCUAAGUUGUGGUGAUGAGAGCUACAUUCCGGUUGCUGAAUUGUCAGUAUUUCUAUAACUAGGAAAUUCGUGUAGUUGUGCUUGUUGUGAGGGUUGCUUGAACGUAACCUCAAAUAAAAUCAAAUCAAAUUGAAUUAAUUUUGUUAUUGGUCACACUUUGAUCGAGAAUGUAUAUAGCCUUUCCAAGCUCUCUCACUAAACUAUAUAUUUGUUGUAUAACUUGUUAAACAGUCACAAUUCUCAAGGAUAUGUACAGGAGCCUAAACAACCCACAAGGGCUGAAAGGAUGGAAUGGUGGCGAUCCUUGUGAGGAGUCUUGGAUUACAGUAUCCAUCAUCGCUCCUGCACUGAGAACGGUUAGCACCCCACACAAUCUUCGUAAGCUUACAUCCGCAACACAUGCCCCUUUCGUUGAGGUCUCUCAAGACACGGUGGUGCUAGAGUUCAACCAUUACACUUCUGGCUUAAGAUGGAGACAGAAUAGUAUCGGUAGGUAAGAUCAUAGGGCGGAAGGAAUUGAGGCUGAUGAAUUUUAUGGGGGAAUAAGAUCACAGUGAGAAUGAAUUUUAUCACUUGUUUAUCUAGCAGUCCUUGUUUGAUUGGAUAUGAAGCAAGUGAACAAUGCAUAUCCAUAAAAUUUAUAUUUGAGCUAUCAUUCAUUCAUUCCUAAUAAGCACAGUUCCGUUACGUGCAGCUUUCUUAGCUAGCAAGGCUUCAACUCUUGCUAUUUUAUAUUUUGGCAGCUACUGCUCCUGCUUUUGGUAAGCCAUGUUUUUUGAAUUGGAAUCAUGUUUAUUGUUCUUUCUUUGAGGUGUGUGAACUGGUAUUCUUUUGGUCAGGUAUAGCCUACUUUGAAAAACGUUACAACUUAGGGGAAAUAAGUUUUGGCUGAAAGAGCCAAUGGCUAGUCCUUUGUUGGUUACAUCUUGUUAGUUAAUUUUUAUUUAGGGAUGUAGCCCUUAGUUCUAUUUGAACGUUAACUCAGCUAUUCAAUGUAUUUAAUGUGUUUUAAGGGAUAGAGCUGGCAUUGGUCAAAUUCUGAAUAGCUUAACCAUACUUAUUUACCUUGUCCUGUAAUUAUUAAACUAUUUUAAACUUUUCAGUUCAAACUAAAUAACUUUUCCUGUAUCUGAAUUAUGUGUUUGGGUAAUGUAUACUACAAGCAUAUUUCAUUUAGUUCGGUGGCUGUUCUGAGUCUGCACUUCCUAGUCAACCAUUUUUCUUUUCUUGUCUUUGGCGCUGUAACUUUUAGGCUCGAGUGUUUAGGAAUUGAAUAAGUCUUAGACUUUGAAUUGGAAUUAGUAAGCUAGAAGAGAUACUCCUUGGACUCUCUCCUCAGUAAGUAUACUCCUUGAACUUCUCACUUAUGUGGUUUAUAUACAAAAAGAGAAGUUAGCACUAUUUUAAACAUGAGUUAGUACCUAGGUAAUACUAAAUUUUUAAAUUUAAGUCAAAUUUAUGUAUAUGCUGUCACACAACCCUUGAAUACAACCAAUUCUUAGAGUAAAACUAAAAGCAAAACUUAAAAAUUGUCAUAUAGCAUAUAUGCUAAAAUACUAUACCAAACACAAGAUUCAUAUUGCAUAAUUGUGAACUCUGUUGUUAAAAGUGGCCGCUAUUGUGGCGCGGCGUGGAAAAAUCGAGGUCACUGCUACUAGCCGUGUCGUAGCAGCGCAGACGAGUGAUGCGGUGGGAACUGUUGGGGUCGCAGGCGCAAUUGCAGAUCGGAUCGGCGUUGAUAUCUUUUUAUUGCUUUCUAUUAUUUUUGGGAUUGGGGUAGGCGAUUUUUCAGACUAUAUCAACAAUUCACAUCUUGGGACAUCCUGAACGGCCUCUUGUGAUAAGAUAUGUAUCUCUUAAUUAUUUUACAAACUCUGUCAUAUUUCAUAGAAUCUUCCCUUAUCUAUUACGACUACACCAAAUAUAAAGUGAUUAAACAUUCAACGUUUGCCAAGGUAUCCAUGUAUCAAUGCUUCAUAUAAUUUUGUUAAUGUAUUUCAUAAAUUUUUGAAGUUUUUGCGGUGUAUUUAGGCUUACAAUAGAUAAUUGCAUGAUAUAUUUUCCACUUCAAUCUUAAAAUUAGAAGCUUAGUUUAUCUUUACUCUCUGACAUGAACUGAAAAAAGUUUUGGUCUGUUUGCUAUUGAAUGUGUUUCUUUUUCUUUGAUAGUAAAUAUUUGAAACAAAUAUUAGAGGAGCUUGAGACAGUUUUUUUUCCAGGGUAACUGAAAAUGUCUUUGGCAGAGUGAUUUGAGAUCUUUUGAAGCGAAAGUUUCUCAAUCUUUGUGAAUGCUUAUUAAUCUAGGAAAUUAAUUACUUUAAGAAUUAUUGUUACUUUUUUUUGGAAGCAAAUGACACAAUUGAAGAAAUUUUUUCAGUGGCCUCUUAGCGAUUGGUACUCCAACAUAAUAUUGAAAUGUUCUUAGAUAUACGAUAUAUUUUUUAAGUUGUGCCCCCUAUUCUGGUUUCAUGUUGUAAUUCAAUCAGGACUGAUAUACAUAAGGUUUAAGUAUUAUAAAGUUACAAUUUUCACACGAGCCAAUAUACAAUAAGCUUUCUGCAGAGUAUCUACUUGAUUAUAUCCUUACACUUGCUGAAUUGAUCUUUUGGGAAUGUUGAAAUUAUGAUCUUCUACUUGCUUUAAGAGAUCUUGAUAAGCAUUGCAAAACUAACGUUUAGUUGUCAUAAGUCAUGAAUGAAGUUGCUAGCGGUUUUUAGUUGUCAUAAGCCAUUGAUCUAGCCAUAGAAGUAGAUUUAUAGUACCAUGAUAUAUGAAUUGUCAGACUUAGUAGGAGAGAAGCAAUUCUAGCCUGCAUGGAGACAUCAACAUAAUGUUUUCAGAUAAUUCAGAUUUCCAUCAUUUGUCUUAUCCUCGAUAUGUCUAUUUUUUUCCAUUUCAAAAUUGAUUUCUUGUGAUGUUCCUGGCAGAUGCAAAAAGCAUUCGGUUUAGAGAAAGUCCUAAAGAAGGGUGGGAUCUGGAAAAAUAUUAUGGGACUGAUCAAAAGAAGGUCGCCGAUGAUAUUUUGGUAGAACAUACUAGUUAUACUGCAAACAAUAUGGUGGGAAUGAUGGCAUGCCUACUUGCUCUAGGAAAUUCAACGUCUUUUUCCCAGAAAGUUGCGCUCAAGAUGGCUUGGACCUGACACUGUUAGUCAAGUCUUUCUUCAUGGAGCACUUGAAGCUUCUGAAGAAGAUGGCAUCACUUUCAUAUUUAAUGGACAACAUGCAAAACAUUACGAGGAAGGGUUGCUCCAAGUGAGAUAUGUCGUUCGCCUCAGUGAUUGAAAGCUUUCUCAGAGAAGUCACUGUUACUCUCUCUCACUUAUUUACUUCUGUGUCUGGUUGAAUAUUUUACAUUGAACACAAUGCUCUGAACUAGUGUGGGGGAGGAUGUAUAUCUUGGCACUUUACUUCUGCUAGUUCUUGUUGAUUGAAUUUUCUAAAUGGUAAGGGGACAUAUAAGAAUGAAAAGGCUGGAUUGACACUUGCUGAUCUUGCUUACCGACGUGCAAAAGCAGUAAAGGCCACCAAGAGGGCACUAGACUCUGGCAAGAUUGUGAACAAUCCUCAAAAGAAAUCUAAUAAAUCUAAUCCUUUGUGAAAGCCUUCCUCUUCAAGGCUAGAGGAAAUGCGGGAGCUAUUCCAGACUGACGUGAAGGAUAAAAAGCCGAAACAGAGAGGUUCUGGAACAGGAAAGAAGGCGAAGAAGUCAUUGAAAAGCAAGUCAAGGCUGAAAAUUCGGUUGCUGAAAAUUGAGAAAGAUGACACUUCAAUUUGAAGGAAAUUUGACGGGAAGAGAGGGGCUACAUUUAACGAAAAGUGGUUUCUUUUAUCAAUCACAAGUUUCAUAACACUGGCAGGGUUGCAAUGCAUGACUCAUAAUUUUUCUGUAACCAGUGCUGCCAUGCUGAUGGGUUGCAGUUCCCAAGAAUUAAUAACGGCAUUAUCUACCCAUAAAAUCCAACAUGGCGAGCGAGGACACUGUUGCCACAUGUGUGACAUUAUUGCUGGCAAUUGAAACAAGAGAUACAAUUGCCAAAUUUAUUUAUGCAAGCUUGUUUUUAUGGCUUGGACAACAAGUUAACAAGUCACUUGCAGUGGGUGAAAAACAUACAGAGAAAUUCAUUAGUAUCCUUGCUUUUUAUGGGUCUCAGCCAUUCCAGUAUGGGAGAUACCAAUGCGAACUACUUGUGGAGGACUUGGAUAAGAAUUGAAAUUGAAUCAUAUUGAAUAACUCGCUAUCUUCUCUACAUAUUAUUUCUUUGACAUUACCAAUGUGCUUUAUAUAUGAAGUUGACUAAAAUUUCCUAUUCAUAUAACCCAUUACACCAUUGGAGCACUGUGAAAGGCAGAAUAAAUCGUUGACAGAAAUCUGGCCCAACUAUUUUAACCCCAAGCUUUCUUCAAGGUUAUCAAAUAUAGUUGAGGAAAGAGUUGAGCUGCGGGAGAUUUCAUUCGGAUCAUUCCCUCCUAGCUUGGCGUUGCAAGGGAUGCGAUGGUGAACUAUGGGUGAUCAGCGAGUCAUGCAACUUGGUUUUGAUUGGGACACCAAUUAAAUGAGCAUUUUAAUACUUGCUAAGCUUGCGAAGCCUUUGAUGGGAACUACACGAAUUGUUAUUAACAUUCUUCAUAUCAAGGGAGGUCUUAUCUUUACACCGACUCUUGAUGGAAGAGCGCUUUUAUACUCGUUUGUAUCAGCUCCUGAGGUGAGUGCAGGAGUUGGCUUUGGAUGCGGCGGGAGUCAGUCACUUCCAGCUCCUGAGUGGCCUGGAAAAGUUUUUACUGACACCUUGGAUAAAACUUAAUUUUGGCUGUAAACACCAAGGGUUCUUGAGCUGUCGUAUGGAAGUAAACUUGUAAAAGAAAAUUAUGUAGUUCAAGAAAGAAUGGUUCUCCUCCUUUAUGUAGUAGAGGCUAUGAUGUGGAGUCUCCGUACUAUCGAGAACUGCAAAAUUGCGUAGGAGGAACACAUAGCAGCCGUUGGAUUUCUAUUGAACAGAGGGCAACCUGACCUUCAAGGGAUCACCCGAAAAAGAAUGAGCUUUCAAUAUAUGCUAACAUUUAUGGUAACUGUUAUUGGUUUCAUAACUUUCUCGGGUGUAAAACAUUAUUACAUUGAUGGUUUGAGCAAAGCCUCAUACUUAUUUAUGUUCAGGUAGAGUAUACAAUUUGAUUUUCUUGGUUCUAAAAUUUAUUUGAGUUGUGAGAAGAGACUGGUUUUAUAUAGCAGCACAAAAAAAAAUGCAGUUUGUUUUUUUAAAAAAAAUGCAAUUAAUAUUUGAUACUCUGUUAACAAACUUAUAAUUUAUUGGAACUCAUGCCUAUGAUUUAGUAAUUGAUAUAUAAGUGUAUUCUUCCAGCAAUUACCCAUAAAUUUGAAUUAAUAUUGAAAAAGACUUACUUCCAGUGAAGAACUCCUGUUAUGGACAGUUGAAAUAGCAGUUACUUGCAUUAUAAGUACAUAUUGCUUUA